rnacentral:rRNA from 1 species
CCUACGGAGGACAGCAGUGAGGAAUAUUGGUCAAUGGGCGGAAGCCUGAACCAGCCAAGUAGCGUGCGGGAUGAAGGCCCUACGGGUCGUAAACCGCUUUUGCACGGGGAUAACACCCUCCACUUGUGGAGGUCUGCAGGUACCGUGCGAAUAAGGGCCGGCUAAUUCCGUGCCAGCAGCCGCGGUUAUACGGAAGGCCCGAGCGUUAUCCGGAUUCAUUGGGCUUAAAGGGAGCGUAGGCGGGCGUUCAAGUCAGCUGUAAAAUCGCGCGGCUCAACCGCGCCCCGCAGUUGAAACUGGAGGCCUUGAGUUCACAACAGGCAGGCGGAAUUCGUGGUGUAGCGGUGAAAGGCAUAGAUAUCACGAGGAACCCCGAUUGCGAAGGCAGCAUGCCGGGGUGCGACUGACGCUGAGGCACGAAGGUGCGGGUAUCAAACAGGAUUAGAUACCCGGGUAGUC